GACGAACGCUGGCGGCGUGCUUAACACAUGCAAGUCGAACGGUGACCCAGGGCUUGCCCUGGUGAUCAGUGGCGAACGGUGAGUAACACGUGGGCAACCUGCCCCCUGACUUCGGGAUAACUCCUCGAAAGAGGAGCUAAUACCGGAUACGACCACUUCGGACAUCCGAUGGUGGUGGAAAGUUCUUCGGUCAGGGAUGGGCCCGCGGCCUAUCAGCUAGUUGGUGGGGUAAUGGCCUACCAAGGCGACGACGGGUAGCCGGCCUGAGAGGGCGACCGGCCACACUGGGACUGAGACACGGCCCAGACUCCUACGGGAGGCAGCAGUGGGGAAUAUUGCGCAAUGGGCGAAAGCCUGACGCAGCGACGCCGCGUGAGGGAUGAAGGCCUUCGGUUGUAAACCGUCUUUCUAGCAGGGACGAAGCGAAAGUGACGGUACCUGCAGAAGAAGCACCGGCUAACUACGUGCCAGCAGCCGCGGU
rnacentral:rRNA from 1 species